ACGAACGCUGGCGGCGUGCUUAACACAUGCAAGUCGAACGGAAAGGCCCCUUUGGGGGUACUCGAGUGGCGAACGGGUGAGUAACACGUGAGUAACCUGCCCUUGACUUCGGGAUAACUUCAGGAAACUGGGGCUAAUACCGGAUAGGAAUCCUUGCUGCAUGGUGGGGGUUGGAAAGCUUCGGCGGUUUUGGAUGGACUCGCGGCUUAUCAGCUUGUUGGUGGGGUAGUGGCUUACCAAGGCUUUGACGGGUAGCCGGCCUGAGAGGGCGACCGGCCACAUUGGGACUGAGAUACGGCCCAGACGCCUACGGGAGGCAGCAGUGGGGAAGAUUGCACAAUGGGCGGAAGCCUGAUGCAGCAACGCCGCGUGCGGGAUGACGGCCUUCGGGUUGUAAACCGCUUUCAGCAGGGGCGAAGCUUGUGGUGACGGUACCUGCAGAAGAAGCACCGGCUAACUACGUG
rnacentral:rRNA from 1 species